CCGUGUAGUACCAUUCCCUUUCAACCUCUCCCCGACCAGAGCUGUUCUCUAUCUCUCGAUAGUACUCCACAUUCUAAACAACCCCCUCGCACCCCCCCGCCCCCACACCCCCCCAAACUCCGCUUCUUUCUUCCUUUUCUCCAUUUACCUUUCUUGAUCCUUCAUCAGCUCACCCAUGUAGAAAUACCCAUUUUCAUAUUUUUUUUCUUCUUCUUUGUAAAAAUAUUUUCCCAUCCUUAAUUCUUCGUCGGCUAAAGCAUGUGUUUACUUUCUGGGUAAAUUAGAACGGGAUCUCUAAUUUUAUAUUUUCUCUUUGUACAUCUGCUAUAGUGGAAGUGCUGUUUUUCAGCCAUGGAGUAGUCAUAAUUGAUCAAAUCAAACUAUUCUCUAUGUCAAUUUGAAAGGUUAAAAAUGGAGGUGGCAACGCAGUUAAAGAGAGGGAUAUUGAGGCAAUUCUCAACAGGAUCCUUUAGGAAGAGCGGAAAAUUCAGUUUCAAGAGGCAGAAUUCAUUCGAUCCAAGGAGGAAUAAUUUGAGAUUCAGUUUCGGCAGGCAGUCGUCGCUUGAUCCGAUUCGAAGGAGCUCUUCGAAUGAAAAUGGCGAGCUGAGUGUGCCAGACAAUCUCGAUUCGACGAUGCAGCUGUUAUUCAUGGCGUGUAAAGGGGAUGUGAAGGGAGUUCAGGACUUGUUGGAUGAAGGCAUUGAUGUGGACAGCAUCGAUUUGGAUGGGAGGACUGCUCUUCACAUUGCUGCAUGUGAAGGCCAUGUCGAAGUUGUCAAGCUUCUGUUGAGUAGGAAGGCUAAUAUGGAUGGCCGUGAUCGUUGGGGUAGCACGGCAGUAGCUGAUGCCAAAUACUAUGGAAAUGCUGAAAUUUACAACAUUUUGAAGGCCCGUGGAGCCAGAGCGCCAAAAAACAGAAAGACGCCAAUGGCUGUAGCAAAUCCUCGAGAAGUUCCAGAAUAUGAACUAAACCCUCUGGAACUUCAAAUCCGCAGAAGCGAUGGAAUCUCAAAGGGUUCAUAUCAAAUUGCCAAAUGGAAUGGAACAAAAGUUUCGGUAAAGAUACUUGACAAGGAUAGCUAUACAGACCCUGAAAGCAUAGAUGCUUUCAAACAUGAAUUAACUUUGCUAGAAAAAGUACGGCAUCCAAAUGUUGUUCAGUUUGUUGGAGCAGUCACACAAAAUAUACCAAUGAUGAUAGUCUCUGAGUAUCAUCCAAGGGGUGACUUAGGUAGCUAUCUGCAAAAGAAGGGACGUCUAUCUCCUUCUAAGGGGCUACGAUUUGCUCUUGAUGUUGCUAGGGGUAUGAACUACCUUCACGAAUGCAAACCAGACUCAAUUAUCCAUUGUAAUCUAGAGCCAAAAAAUAUUUUGCUGGACAGUGGAGGUCUCCUGAAAGUUGCAGGAUUCGGUCUGAUUAGAUUGUCAAAAAUUUCACCUGACAAAGCAAAGUUGGUGCAGCCGGAGGCUGUUGACCGUUCAAGUCCCUAUGUGGCACCUGAGAUUUAUAAAGAUGAAAUAUUUGACCGGAAUGUGGACAUAUAUUCAUUUGGCAUUGUACUCUAUGAGAUGAUGGAGGGAACACCACCUUUUCAUACCAAGUCUCCUCAAGAGGCUGCUAGACUGAUGUGCUUAGAAGGCCAAAGACCAGCAUUCAGAUCGAAAUCCAAAUAUCCUCCGGAGCUUAGAGAGUUGAUUGAAGAAUGUUGGGAUCCAGAAGCUUUUGUACGGCCAACGUUUUCUGAGAUCAUUGUGCGGAUGAAUAAAAUUGCUGCUAACUGCUCAAAACAAGGAUGGUUGAAAGAUACUUUUAAGCUUCCUUGGUUCAAAUUCCAAAGGAGGCAAAAUACUAGGUGAUUUCUUACCAUCUUUCCAAGCCUUGAUGGACAGAGUUAGCUGGUCUUGUUGCUGGUGGGAGAUAGCAGAUAUUCCAUAAAAUUAGUCGAGGUGCAAACAAGUUGGCCUGGACACCACGGUUAGAAAAAAAAGAGAGUUCCAAUUUUACCAAGGUUAUAAGCGUGCAUACAAAGUGCAAAGACGCGGACAAAAAUGAAGCCAAUUGAGCUUAUCAGCGAAAGAUUCUCGUGGAGCUUUCCACUCAAAAUUGAUCGCGCGGAAAAUUGUGAUAAACCUAAUAAGAAACCUUCUAUUCGCGUGAUUCCUUGAAAGCUUUAUAUUGUGGUUAACCAAAUAAAAGGCAGAUUUGCAGGGUGAAGGAAAUGGGGUUACCAUUAAAUCUUGGCUCUCCCAUCUUGUCUCCUGUUCUCAGUAAGUUUGAACUCCACUAUAUAUAUAUAUAUAUAUAUAUAUAUGUGUGUGUGUGUGUGUGUGUGUGUGUGUGUGUGUGUGAAGCAUCUUUGUUUAAUCUCUAGUAUUUCAACAUGGUGUGAACCAAGUAUAUUUUGCUUUACGAGGAGAAAACAAAAGGUUAUAUAAGAAAAACUGGAUACUACUUCAUAUCCAACUAUUUCUAUUCUUCUUAUUUUCCUUUUCUUGUUUGAUUUUUAAAGAACACUAGCAUUCCAUUUUCUCU